rnacentral:rRNA from 1 species
CAGUAGCCACGGUAAUACGAAGGGUGCAAGCGUUAAUCGGAAUUACUGGGCGUAAAGCGUGCGCAGGCGGUCGUGUAAGACAGGUGUGAAAUCCCCGGGCUUAACCUGGGAACUGCGCUUGUGACUGCACAGCUAGAGUAUGGCAGAGGGGGGUGGAAUUCCACGUGUAGCAGUGAAAUGUGUAGAGAUGUGGAGGAACACCGAUGGCGAAGGCAGCCCCCUGGGCCAAUACUGACGCUCAUGCACGAAAGCGUGGGGAGCAAACAGGAUUAGAUACCCGCGUAGUCCCUGUCUCUUAUCC